rnacentral:rRNA from 1 species
GACGAACGCUGGCGGCGUGCCUAAUACAUGCAAGUCGAGCGGACUGAUUAAGAGCUUGCUCUUAUGACGUUAGCGGCGGACGGGUGAGUAACACGUGGGCAACCUGCCCUGUAGAUCGGGAUAACACCGAGAAAUCGGUGCUAAUACCGGGUAAUAUCUGAGAUCACAUGAUCUUAGGUUAAAAGAUGGCUCCGGCUAUCACUACAGGAUGGGCCCGCGGCGCAUUAGCUAGUUGGUAAGGGAAUGGCUUACCAAGGCGACGAUGCGUAGCCGACCUGAGAGGGUGACCGGCCACACUGGAACUGAGACACGGCCCAGACUCCUACGGGAGGCAGCAGUAGGGAAUCUUCCGCAAUGGACGACAGUCUGAAGGAGCAACGCCGCGGGGGUGAUGAAGGGUUUCGGCUCGUAGAGCUCUGUUGUUAGGGAAGAAACAGUACCGAACGAAAUAGGUCGGUACCUUGACGGUACCUAACCAGAAAGCCACGGCUAACUACGUG